rnacentral:lncRNA from 13 species
CAUGAAAUGGCCAGUAGCUCCCCAGAGUGAGUGGCCCAAGAGAGAGCAAGGGAGAAGCUGCAAUGUCUUUUAUGAUCUGGCCUUGGAAGUCACACUCCAUCAUUCGUACGAUACCUUACUGGUGAUGCAGGCCAGCCCUACUCAAUGUGGAAAGGGUCUGCGGACUGCUUGGAGCAUGGGUACCAGCAGGCAAGAAUCCCUAGGAGCCAUCUUGGAGGCCGGUCACCAUAAAAGUGUUUUCUCCAGCUGUCAUUGGGAAUACACAACUGGAAUCCACCGGGCUGCCACCAAGGCCAGGAGGCUCAGUCUUGGAGACGGGGGUCCAGGCUGGUCUCGAACUCCUGAGCUCAAGCAAUCCUUCUGCCUCAGCCUCCUGAGUGCCAGUUUUCUUCUUGUUAAAUGGGUGGAGAAUCACUCCUGCCUGGAUUAUUCCAGAUUAUUCUCAGGAAUAGAUCAAAUUAACGGAUAAAAUGAAUUCAUUAAAAGUUUAAAAUACUAGGCAAAUGAAAGCUAUGGUUGCUAUUAUAACGGUUAUUGGUACUUUUAUUAUUACUCUCCCUAUUUUCAUAGAAUCCAAAUGCAAUUUGGAAUUUUUAUGUGACCUCAAUGCAAGGGAAAACAGAAUGUGUG